UACGGAGGUUCCAAGCGUUGUUCGGAAUUACUGGGCGUAAAGGGAGCGCAGGCGGGCAAGUCAGUCUGAAGUGAAAUCCCGGGGCUCAACCUCGGACUUGCUUCGGAUACUGCUUGUCUUGAGUUCGUGAUAGGAAGACGGAAUUCAGGGUGUAGCGGUGAAAUGCACAGAUAUCCUGAGGAACACCGGUGGCGAAAGCGGUCUUCUGGCGCGAAACUGACGCUGAGGCUCGAAAGCGUGGGUAGCAAACGGGAUUAGAUACCCGCGUAGUCCCU
rnacentral:rRNA from 1 species